GAUGAACGCUGGCGGCGUGCCUAAUACAUGCAAGUCGAGCGAACAGAUGAGGAUCUUUCGCCUCUUACGUUAGCGGCGGACGGGUGAGUAACACGUGGAUAACCUACCUAUAAGACUUAGAUAACUGCGGGAAACCGUAGCUAAUACCGGAUAAUAUAUUGAACCGCAUGGUUCUGUAGUGAAAUACGGUUUUUCUGUCACUUAUAGAUGUAUCCGCGCCGCAUUAGCUAGAUGGUAAGGUAACGGCUUGCCAAGGCAACGAUGCGUAGCCGAACUGAGCGGGGGAUAGGCCACACGGGAACUGAGACACCGUCCAGACUCCUAAGGGAGGCCGCAGUCUGGAACGGUACGCAACGGGGGAAAGCCUGACGCAGCAAGGGCGAGCGAGUGAUGACGGUCUCCGGAUCGUAAAACUCUGUUAUUAGGGAAGAACAUAUGUGUAUGUAAAUAUGCCCGUAUUGACGGUACCUGAAGAGAAAGCACCGGCUAACUACGUG
rnacentral:rRNA from 1 species